rnacentral:lncRNA from 1 species
AUUCCCUCCACAGCCAGUAUAGGUGAAAGCAUCACAGGUUCUGUAUCUUGGAUUAAAAUAAUAGCGAGUCACAUUGGCAGAGCACAGUCCCUCAUCUUUUGGACUGUAGCAAAAUGAUGGAACUUUAUAAAAAAGAGAAGAAAUUUUCUUUGGUGCGCAGAAGCCCAUACAAGUAGCUUCAUCUGGAAACCUGUUCUCAAUCCGGUUCCGGUGACACCCACCGGAAAAGAAUUUUUCACAUGUCAUGGAACUUAGAUUAAAGAAAUACUUUUCUGUGGACCCCUCACACUGGUCGUCCACACUCACUUGCAGCCGGCAAACUUUGGGAACUUCUAGGAAAAGGAGGGUAAUAGAACAAUGUUAGUCAAAAGUAGCCUUCUUAUUAAACCAUCACUGUAUUUUCAGCAACAUUUUGUGGGGGGAGAGAAGUUGUAUUAGUGUUGGGAUAGUAAAUACCCAGAAUACUCCCAUGAAUCCAGAUAUUUACUUUUUUUUUUUCUAACAGUGUAUUCAGAGCUGACUCAGCUGUGAUGUAUCUUUCAAGUUCAGUAGAAAGACUCUCUGUUUUCUCUGGGUGUUCUCUGAUUGUACAUAUGCAGUGAAUCAAAGCUUAUUCACAUGAAUACGCAUUUUCCCCUGGCUCAGUUCCUUGAAUGGAAAAGCCCCAUGUUCUCUUACAGGCCUUAACCGAUAUAAUUUAAAAAUUAAAAAUAAAUUAAAAUAUAACAGUAUUAUGAAUCUCCACCAUGUCCCGCAACUAAUCCAACACAUGUUUGGGUAUCGGGACAAAAGUAGAGUUAUAUAAUGAGCUAAGUCACACUUCAAUAAUAAAAUCCACUAAAAAUAUUUCAGAUUGAUGGAUAAUCGACAGAAGGAAAUGAUGUACUCCAGGAGAGAUAAAAAUCAUAGGUUUGGAAUUAAUGAAAAAUACAGAGAAGCACUUACGUUGUACCUAACACGUUAUUCUCUUGCAUUUAUUAUACCCCAUGGUGAGGGAACAAAUCUUUCCCUGAGUCCGCACAGGCACUGAAUUAUGAUCAAUGUCAGUUGGGAGACAGGAAAUGUGUUAGUGGUUGUAAAUUUGUGAUUACUUUUAAGAAACUGAAAACCAUGAGGUUUGCUUAACACUUGAGAAAACCCAGGCUAAAACUUCCUGUAGAAAGCGAGACGUGGGAAACUGGCGAAGCUGCUACCAGCCGCCGGCGCAAGGAGCGCGAGAGUCCUGGGUGCGCGCAGGGCACUUACUUUCUAUCCUCCAGCAAGCAUCGUCGCAAGCCUCCCAGGUGUAGAAAUUGUUGGCGUUGCCCUCGCAGCCCCCGUACAGGAACUGGCGGCAGCUCUGCGUGUACCUGUCGUAGUAGUAACGGAGAAGUAGGGCCCGGCAGGGUCCGUAGUCUAGGGGCAGGAGACAGAUCUCCGCGUUAUUUCCUGAAGAAGGGGCAGAAGGAGAGCAAAAGAGAGGGAAAGUGGUCAGGCGUAGCUCCUAGGAGGAAAGAACAUCCCGGGGAGUUCUGUCCCCUUCCGAGCGGAGGGGCCUCUGCAGAGAAAGUGCAAACUUGGGAGCGAGUCCCCCCUGCCAGCGGAGCGCGCGGCAGGGACCUGGAGAAAGCGAGGCUUGGAGGGCGCCUACACGGGGCCCCAUGGCCCGCUGCGCCCUCUCCGCCGGUUGGGGAGAGAAGCUCCUGGAGCGGCCAGAUACCUGUUGGCUCCUGAGCAGCAUCGCCCAGUGCAGCCUCCGUCAGGAAAAGCAGCAGAAUCGACAGCCCCAGGGGGCGAGCGGGGUCCAUGGUGCAGGGGGUCGGGCGGCCCGCUGGGCAAGGCGUCCGAGAAAGCGCCUGGCGGGAGGAGGUGCGCGGCUUUCUGCUCCAGGCGGCCCGGGUGCCCGCUUUAUGCGGGGCGAGCGUCCGGCCGACCCCCGCCGGGGCGGAGCCUGAGGGGUGGCUGAUUCAUGCACGGGGACUGUCACCCCGCCGCCCCCGCGCUGCAAACUGUGUAAGAGGGAGAGGAAUUCCCCGCCAAGUUGAAAAGUUGAACCUGCCUCCCAAACUUUCUCCUGUAGUCCAGACGGGGACGCCCUGAGGGAGCGUUUGUGUCAGUAAUGGGAAAUCUGCAAGCUAGACGGAAAUGACCUGCUAGUGAUUGCGCUGUAAAGAAGCCGGAAUCCACCUCUUGAAGGCAUGAAGUUCAGGUAUUUGAAAGGCUGGUGGAGAGAAAGUGCGGAGUUCUUGGGUCAGAGCGGAGCGGGAUUCGUUGCAAUGGACCUUCAGAUUAGAUUAGAAAUGUAAAUAAGUGUAUAUUUAUAUUUAUACACACAGAUUUCAAUCGAG